rnacentral:rRNA from 1 species
UACAGUUUGAUCCUGGCUCACAACGAACGCUGGCGGCAGGCCUCAUACAUGCAAGUCGUGCGAUUAAAGCCCCUUCGGGGGUGUAUAGAGCGGCGAACGGGUGAGUAACAGGUGGAUAACCUGCCUCUUGGUGGGGAAUAACAGCUGGAAACGGCUGCUAAUACCGCAUGUGGUUGCCGGGUCCCUGGACCUGGCAAAGAAAGGCGCUUCACGGCGCCGCCAAGAGAUGGGUCCGCCUCCCAUUAGCUAGUUGGUGAGAUAAAAGCCCACCAAGGCUUCGAUGGGUAGCCGAACUGAGAGGUUGAUCGGCCACACUGGAACUGAGAUACGGUCCAGACACCUACGGGUGGCAGCAGUAGGGAAUAUUGCGCAAUGGGCGAAAGCCUGACGCAGCCAUGCCGCGUGAGUGAAGAAGGUCUUCGGAUUGUAAAGCUCUUUUCUGAGGGAAGAACCCUGGCAGAGGAAAUGCUGCCGGACUGACGGUACCUCAGGAAUAAGGAACGGCUAACUCCGUGCAGCAGCCGCGGUAAUACGGAGGUCAGCGUUGUUCGGAAUACUGGGCGUAAAGGAGCGCAGCGGAUGGGUCAUUUGAAUGGAAUCCCGG